GGUUACUGCUAUCGGUGUUCGCCUAAGCCAUGCGAGUCAUAUGUUCGUAAGAACAUGGCGUACUGCUCAGUAACACGUGGAUAACCUGCCCUUGGGUCCGGCAUAACCCCGGGAAACUGGGGAUAAUUCCGGAUAACGCACAUAUGCUGGAAUGCUUUUUGCGUAAAAUGGAUUCGUCUGCCCAAGGAUGGGUCUGCGGCCUAUCAGGUAGUAGUGGGUGUAAUGUACCUACUAGCCUACGACGGGUACGGGUUGUGAGAGCAAGAGCCCGGAGAUGGAUUCUGAGACAUGAAUCCAGGCCCUACGGGGCGCAGCAGGCGCGAAAACUUUACAAUGCGGGAAACCGUGAUAAGGGGACACCGAGUGCCAGCAUCCUAUGCUGGCUGUCCGGGUGUGUAAAAUACACCUGUUAGCAAGGGCCGGGCAAGACCGGUGCCAGCCGCCGCGGUAACACCGGCGGCCCGAGUGGCGAUCGUGAUUAUUGGGUCUAAAGGGUCCGUAGCCGGUUUGGUCAGUCCUCCGGGAAAUCUGACAGCUCAACUGUUAGGCUAUCGGAGGAUACUGCCAGACUUGGAACCGGGAGAGGUAAGAGGUACUACAGGGGUAGGAGUGAAAUCUUGUAAUCCCUGUGGGACCACCUGUGGCGAAGGCGUCUUACCAGAACGGGUUCGACGGUGAGGGACGAAAGCUGGGGGCACGAACCGGAUUAGAUACCCGGGUAGUCCCAGCCGUAAACGAUGCUCGCUAGGUGUCAGGCAUGGCGCGACCGUGUCUGGUGCCGCAGGGAAGCCGUGAAGCGAGCCACCUGGGAAGUACGGCCGCAAGGCUGAAACUUAA
rnacentral:rRNA from 1 species